GGGUUGUGAGGUUAAGCGACUAAGCGUACACGGUGGAUGCCCUGGCAGUCAGAGGCGAUGAAGGACGUGCUAAUCUGCGAAAAGCGUCGGUAAGGUGAUAUGAACCGUUACAGCCGGCGAUGUCCGAAUGGGGAAACCCAGUGCAAUUCGUUGCACUAUCGUUAACUGAAUACAUAGGUUAACGAGGCGAACCGGGGGAACUGAAACAUCUAAGUACCCCGAGG
rnacentral:rRNA from 1 species